GGCUGGUUAGCUCAGUUGGUUAGAGUGCAGUGCUGUUAAUGCUAAGGUCCAAGGUUCGAUCCCUGUACUGGCCA